rnacentral:rRNA from 1 species
ACGCUCGACACCUACGGGGGCAGCAGUGGGGAAUAUUGCACAAUGGGGGAAACCCUGAUGCAGCGACGCCGCGUGAGCGAAGAAGUAUUUCGGUAUGUAAAGCUCUAUCAGCAGGGAAGAAACUGACGGUACCUGACUAAGAAGCACCGGCUAAAUACGUGCCCGCAGCCGCGGUAAUCUGAGCGGGCUGGCAAGGC